GCCUCGGUGGCCAAGUGGUAAGGCGUCGGUCUCGUAAACAGAAGAUCCUGGGUUCAAAUCCCAGUCGGGGCU
rnacentral:tRNA from 1 species